AACUGGUUGACAGGAGGGAAAAAAAACAUUUUAUCUGUGAAUACUAGUACUAUGAAACAAGAACAGGAAAAUCCAAAAGUUCUCCUUCCCUUCCAUACUAUGGAAAUCCAUUCUCCGAGGGAUGAUCCUUCGAAAUGACGGGCAAAAAGGCGAAUUGAAUCGCGUUUUCCGAACACAUGGGUUCUUGCUAGGGGAUUUGAUUCCAUUUACUCAUAGAAAUAGCAAGGUUGACUUUGCGUCGUCAAUCGUGCCUUGCCUUCUGCGCAUCAAUUUUACCGCAAGAAACAGCACGCGUCAGGGAGA
rnacentral:sRNA from 1 species